GUUUUUGAUUGCCAGUUCGUCUUUUACGGUGCGAGCAAACACUUGCUGCGUGCUUUAAAAAUAUUUAUUGCCUAUUAUACUUGCUACCUUUUGAAAUCACUUAAGGCACCAAAUUUGUACAGUUUGAAUUUGCAACAAUUUAAGGACUUCUGAUGAGAUAUUGCAUCCAUAUGUGCUGAAUAUAAUGUAAUUGUGCAGACGUUUUAAGAUGUUACAAAUGCUCGGUUACUGUGGAAAAAUAUUUUGUUAUUAAUACAACAAUCGUUACGCCAUU